UGGGCUGUUUACCAAUUUGGAUAAUUCAGAGAAAUGUCCGAAUUUUCGGUGGAUAUUUUAUGUGAAAAGAGAGGGUAAAAAUGGGAGAGAAAGGUAACAACCUGUCUCAUGUCCCGGGCAUACGUAAGACUCGGCCAUAAUUGGGAUUUGCUUAGCUGUCUACACUCCCACACUCCUUUUUUUCCUCACAUGGUCCCUCCACCUUUUCCUCGUCGCCUUCAACUUUCCCCUUUUAUCCUCUGCUUCUCUCUGCUCCCCUUGACAAUUGCUGACCAGUUUUGUCUUUUCAUCGUUUCAACGGGAGUGCAGCGAGUGAGAGCGCCCAGAUCAUUCCAGAAGAGCCCUAGGAAAGAGAAUAGCUUUGGGAGAAAGCAAAUUCCAAACCAACAAUCUGGAAAAGCACCGCCGUAUCAGAGAGGCCGAUUUGGGUCUAUCAUGUGUAUUUAUGAGCGUUAGACUAUAGAAAGAAUAACCUCAUUUGACGUCGAAAGCCCAAAGCACUUUCCACAUUCACACACCCUUUUUUCCCCAGAGACCCAGUUUCAUUUUCCCUUUAUUCUCCUUGCUUUCAUUUAAAAUCUGGUUUUCCGCCCCUGCUACUCUCCUCUGUUUCUUGAAGAUGAACGACCCCAAGUACGCUUAUCCCUACCCUGCCCAAGGGUAUUACCAAGGCCCUCCAGUGAUGGCACCCCCACAAUACGCAGCUCCACCACCCAGAAGAGAACCAGGUUUCCUUGAGGGAUGUCUGGCGGCUUUGUGUUGCUGUUGCCUGAUUGAUGAGUGUUGCUGCGACCCCUCUAUCAUCUUCGUCAGCUAGUAAUGCUGUUGAUUCCACCAUGGAUAAAUCAUCCCACUUUCUCCUUUUUAUUCUGCUUCUGCUGAUUUAUAUAUGAGGCUUGAAUGUAUUCAUGUGUGAUGUUGUAGAAUUGUUACUCUGCCUGUUAAGACGCUUCCCUUCUGUUCCUUAUUUUCACAUUUAUGGAGGAGUCUUCUGUCUUA